UACGUAGGGUGCGAGCGUUGUCCGGAAUUAUUGGGCGUAAAGAGCUCGUAGGCGGUUUGUCGCGUCGGCCGUGAAAUCUCCACGCUUAACGUGGAGCGUGCGGUCGAUACGGGCAGACUUGAGUUCGGUAGGGGAGACUGGAAUUCCUGGUGUAGCGGUGAAAUGCGCAGAUAUCAGGAAGAACACCUACGGCGAAGGCAGCUCGCUGGGACGGUACUGACGCUGAGACGCGAAAGCGUGGGGAGCAAACAGG
rnacentral:rRNA from 1 species